CGCCCCCAGGGAUCCCCUCACGGCUUCGCCCGCCCUUCGCCCUCGCGCGGGCUCUGCUCGUCCCCAGAGCCCUCCGCCCGUCCCCAGGGGCUCGCUGACAGUCCCCGGGAGGACUCUUCGCUCCAAGGGGCCACCAGCAGAGGUUGAAGGGCUCCCCGGACCCUCAGCUUUCCUCACGCCGUCUUACCCCAAGACUGCGGCUGCAACGGGCGGUUUCCUGAGGAGGACCCGCUCCCGCCCAACUGUCAGCCCUCAGGAGAUCCAAAGAACCUAGCAAGAAAGAGCAAAAUCAGCGACUGCUGUGGUCUUUGCCUGACCCAAGGGCUACACAGGAUGAAAUUAAAGGAGAAUUCAGCUAUUCGGAGGCACUGAAUCAAAAAAUGUGUGGUUUCCUUAAAUUUCAAGCUGAAGCUCCAUUCCUUCCUUUGCAUUCAAUGUGCGUGAUAAAUCCAGCAUUUUCUCCCAGUCAGGAUUUGCAAGCUCCUACACAAUGACCAAGUAACCCUGCGGACAGCGUGGGGUUGGCAGCACUGAUUUCAUGCAUGGGAAGAAGGACCAGCACUUCUUCCCCCAGCUGAGCCCCACCUGAUUGUGUAUCAGUGAAUCUUGUCGACCACCAUGUUUCUGGAGUGCCCUAGGAGAAGAGGAAUCCCAUCCAGAGGGUCAGAGCUCUGCAUGGGAGCCCCAGGCAGAGAGCACUGCAUCUGAGUGUGAUGUACAAAUCAACCAGAAGCCUGCCUGAAACACAUACCAGUCGUCGGUGAUGCAGCAGAAAAGAACGGAGCUAAAAUAGCCCGAACAGCUACAGUCCUGGAAGGCAGCAAGGGGGGUGUGCGUGCCUUUAAGUGCAUCUGCAGCUUCCCGUAUGAGCAGAUCCCCUGUUGGAAGGUAAUGCACGCUCCUACCGGACUGAACAAUGAGCUUCCCUGGCUCUUCAGGCAGCAUUCAAAUGGGAAACCGUUCAUGCAGGGAUUUACCAGAACACCAUCGCAGCAUUAUCGAAUGAGAAGUUAGCAAACAUUUUACAUACCUAGCAGAACAUAAUACGUGGAAAGGCAGGGAUGUGCCCCCAGUUUCACUUAGGGGGCUGCCCCGGGAGGGAUGGCCAUGUUUUACAGUGCAGCCACAGCUACUGUUGAGUCACUCCCUAAAAUCCGCAAUAAAAGGUGCAGCCCCA